GUCGGACGUGUGAAAAACUCCGGUGGUAUGAGAUGGACCCGCGUCUGAUUAGCUGGUUGGCGGGGUAACGGCCCACCAAGGCGACGAUCAGUAGCCGACCUGAGAGGGUGGCCGGCCACAUUGGGACUGAGACACGGCCCAGACUCCUACGGGAGGCAGCAG
rnacentral:rRNA from 1 species